rnacentral:rRNA from 1 species
GAUGAACGCUGGCGGCGUGCCUAAUACAUGCAAGUCGAGCGAACGGACGAGAAGCUUGCUUCUCUGAUGUUAGCGGCGGACGGGUGAGUAACACGUGGAUAACCUACCUAUAAGACUGGGAUAACUUCGGGAAACCGUAGCUAAUACCGGAUAAUAUUUUGAACCGCAUGGUUCAAAAGUGAAAGACGGUCUUGCUGUCACUUAUAGAUGGAUCCGCGCUGCAUUAGCUAGUUGGUAAGGUAACGGCUUACCAAGGCAACGAUGCAUAGCCGACCUGAGAGGGUGAUCGGCCACACUGGAACUGAGACACGGUCCAGACUCCUGCGGGAGGCAGCAGUAGGGAAUGUUCCGCAAUGGGCGAAAGCCUGACGGAGCAACGCCGCGUGAGUGAUGAAGGUCUUCGGAUCGUAAAACUCUGUUAUUAGGGAAGAACAUAUGUGUAAGUAACUGUGCACAUCUUGACGGUACCUAAUCAGAAAGCCACGGCUAACUACGUG